GAGGAGUUCCCUAUGAGAAUCCUCUGGGGUAGUACCGCCCAUCCAACACCAUGCCUCUUAAUUGCCUUCGUUUGGCUGUACUCAGCCAUGUGGGGCACUGCUCACCGGCUGGGCCAUCACAGCGUAUACAGUGAUGUAAUGAUGUAUGCAGGCGUACACAGUGUGGUACCCCAAGCUGCUCUUGGGGUUCCACUAGGGCUAAAUGGUGGCGAUUUCCCUUAGGGAAGGUUGUGGACGGCUUAUACCUCACCAGGGCUAUACUGGGCGGGCUCUAGGACCCUGGGGAGGUGAUCUGGGAACUAGGGAGGUCGGCCCAUCCACUAGUGGGAAGCUCAGGUGAACUAUUAGAUUAGAUUGGCACUGAGCAGCCACUAGAUAGACAGGGGUGUUUGAAGUCAGUGUGAAGCAAGGCUGACAAAGGGAAGCAGCCAGUUGUACUGUGUGGAGCUUCUGCCCCCAGGAGGGGAUGGCCCAGCCUCUGCCCUGCCCACCGGGUGAAGACACCACCCAGCCAGGCCAGUCGUCAUGCCAACGGUGCAACGGCACAGCCAGCUGCCAGGGCCCGAGGCCUUCCCUCUGGAGCAGAGCUGGGGGUCAGCUGGGUCAGAGGUCACGACCCCUGCAGCCCUGCCCUGCAGGAAUGCACCAUGGAGACGUGGAGAGGGAUGGGUGUGUGAUGUGUCCAUUGGGGUAUUACUGCACUGGUGGCGUCUCCAUAUGGUGUCCAGCCGGAAGCUAUGGAGCGAAGGAGGGCCUGCAGAGAGAGAGGGACUGCUCCCCCUGUCCAGCAGGCUUCUACUGUUUGGAGGGCAGCUCUCGCAGGCCCGGCUCCCAGUUCCUGUGCCCUGUGGGGUUCUACUGUGAGGAGGGAACAGCGGUACCGCACGGGUCCCCUUGCCCCGCUGGAACCGCAGGAGGACAACUGGGCCAGACAAGUAGAGCAGCCUGCAAGAGGUGUGUGGAGGGACGAUUCUGUCCUGCAGGUUCAGUUGGACCGGGUCUGCCUUGCGCCAGGGGAAGGUAUUGCCCGGCGGGGACUCUGAGGGAGAUCUUAUGCCCCCGCGGCACCUUCACUCCCCACCAGGGGGCCUUGAGUAUAAAGGACUGCUUGCGAUGUCCAGCGGGGUUCUAUUGCCCUGAGGCCACCCGUGACCCAGUGCCCUGCCAGCCUGGCACCUUUAACCCCCUGGAUGGGCAGGACUCCGCUGAAGACUGCCGGCCCUGCUACCCGGGCAAGGCCUGCACCAGGGUGGCACUGAAGGCCCCAGACGUGGACUGCAUGCCAGGCUUCGUGUGCCCCCCAGGCACGGCACGCCCUAACCUCCCUGCCAACGCCUGCCCCCCUGGCACCCUUAGCAACCGAACCGAUCUCACGGACCGCGAACAGUGCCAGCUGUGCCCCGCGAGCUUCGCCUGCCUCAGAGGUACGGGUGGCAUCCAGAGGCCUCCGCUCUCCUGCUUCCCUGGGCACUACUGCCCCGCGGGCUCCAUGUUCCCCACACAGCACAAAUGCCCCCCGGGCACGUGGAGUGAACGCGGCGGCCUGGAGUCGGAGCGGGAGUGCCAGCCUUGCCCACGGGGGUGGUACUGCCUCUCGGGCUCAGGGGCACCGUCAGGGAGAUGCAUCGCUGGGCACUACUGCCCUGAAGGCACGAUGUUCGGUACCCAGUCUCCCUGCCCAGCGGGCACCUUCAGCAACAUGAUGGGCAACGGGCAGAAAGCUGACUGCCAGAUCUGCCCCAAGGGGUAUUACUGCAAGGAGGGCACCUCCAAACCCACUGCCUGCCCGCCGACGACGUACCGCCGGAUGAAGGGGGCCCAGAGGCCUCAGGACUGCUCCCUGUGUCCCGCCGGAUACUCCUGCCCCCAGUCCGCCACCGUCCAGCCCACAGUGUGCGGGGUGGGCAGCUACUCGGACGAGGGCUCGGUGGAGUGCCUGCCGUGUCGGCGAGGUCACUACUGCAGCAACGAGACGACCAGCGCCGAGGUCAUGCUGAGCGUCAUGGUGUGCCCCGCCGGCUUCCUCUGCUCUCAGGGGCUCGACCGGGAACCCCAGCGCUCCGCCGUCUUCUGCCCCAUCGGCUUCUACUGCCCCGGGGGGAGCAUCAACCCCAACCCCGUCCCGUGCCCCAAUGGGACGUACAGUGGGCAGCCGGGGCUGAGGGACGAGGCUGACUGUGUCACGUGCCCCGCGGGGAAGUUCUGCUUCUCUCAGGACCAGGACCAGCCCGCCACUGAGCCGACGGGUUCCUGCCCAAACGGGCACUACUGCCCUCCUGGCACAGGGCAUCCACACUCCUUCCCCUGCCCAGCGGGCUCCUUCAGGAACAACUCCCUGGGGCACGGUGGCGAGAGCUGUGUGGCGUGUCCUGCAAGGCAUUACUGUGGCACUCCAGCCACCCGUACGCCCAGCGGGUGCCCUCAGGGUUUCUAUUGCCCUGAGGGCAGUAGCACUCCUGCCCCCUGUGAAGAGGGCACCUACGGCCCUCGCCCUGUCCUGGCUGAUGCUUCAGAGUGUGCCCCUUGUGACGGGGGCAGGUACUGCAGCGGAGUGGGGCAAACUGAGCCGUCAGGGACCUGUGAGGCAGGAUUCUACUGCAGACACAGAGCCACCACAGCAACCCCUGUGGAUGGUCCGUCAGGCGGCCUGUGUCCAGCUGGCAGUUAUUGCCCCUCAGGCUCAUCCUACCCCUCCCCCUGCCCCCCCGGCACCUUCAGCAACAGUACCGGCCUCAUGCACACGCAGCAGUGUGUCAGCUGCCCCCCAGGAUACUACUGUCUGGGCUCCAACAGUUCUGCUCCAACUGGGCGCUGUGCUGCAGGCUUCUACUGCCCUGGUGGGGCAGACUCCCCUGUGCAGAGAGAGGCAGAGGAGGGGCACUUCUCACGUGAGGGGGCAGUUAAAGCAGAGGAUUGCCCCCUGGGCACCUUUCAGCCCGGCCGAGGCCAGGGAAGGUGUCUCCAAUGCCAGCCUGGCCGCCUCUGCAAUGAGACGGGUCUGUCCCAACCCCCCCUCUGCCCCUCUGGCCACUACUGCCCCCCCGGCUCGUCUGUCGCUCGGCCAUGUCCACCUGGCUCCUACUUUGCUCAUCCUGGUGCAAUAGAAGUAACACACUGCAGCUUGUGUGAUGCGGGGCAGUUCUGCCAGAAUCCAGGCCUUUCUGCCCCAGAGGGUCCCUGUGCCCCAGGAUUCUACUGUACUGGGGGAUCCAGCACUGCUACACCGGUGAACUUGCGGUCUGGAGACGUGUGUCCUGCGGGCUACGUGUGUCCCCCUGGCACCAUGCACCCCCACGAGACUCCGUGCCCCCCCGGCACCUGGAGCAAUGUGGUGGGGGGGCAGGAUCUGUCCACCUGCUGGCUCUGCCCCCCUGGGUUCUACUGCAACACCUCCGCCCUGACCCAGCCCACCAAUGUGUGUGCCCCAGGGUUUUAUUGCUCUGGUGGGGCAAAGAGCUCAAUGCCAGUAGAUGGAGAGAGCGGCGGCCGCUGUCCAGCUGGGUCCUACUGUCCACCGGGUUCAGCCUCGCCCUCACCCUGCCCUGAGGGCACCUUCUCCAACAGCACAGGUGUUGCAGAGUGCCGUAACUGCCCUCCGGGGAAGAUCUGCCUGCGGGGGGAGGACCCCGAGCUCUGCCCUGAGGGGCACUUCUGCCUUGGGGGCACCCUGGACGAUAUCUUGGCCUGCCCACCAGGAACCUACAACCCCUUGCAGGGGCAAAACCAGCUGGAGCAGUGCCUCCUCUGCCCCCCAGGGAGGUACUGUGAGGAGUGGGGACUGUCUGAACCAUCGGGUUUCUGUCAGGCCGGAUAUUUCUGUUUAGCAGGCAUCAACUUCAGAAACCCUGACGGGAACAUCAGCACUGGGGUGGGUGGGGCCUGUCCUAGAGGUCACUACUGUCCAGAGGGCUCAAGCCUACCACACGCCUGUCCUCCAGGAACCUCUUCCAAUAGUCUCCAUGUCACAGAGAGCUCCGGCUGCAGCUCUUGCCCCCCUGGGCGUUUCUGUGGCACAGAGGGACUAAUCCGCCCAUCUGGUCCCUGUCAGCAGGGGUUCUACUGCCCCUCUGGUGCCUCCACUGCCAUGGGAGCCGGGAGUGGAGGAGGGCCGUGCCCUGUGGCACACUACUGCCCCGCUGGCAGUGCCACCCCUGUCGCCUGUCCCGCGGGCACCUACGCCAACCUCACGGCCCAGCCGCGCUGCAGUCUGUGCCAGGCUGGAUACUUCUGCCCUGAGCUGACCGCCAACUACACCAACUUCCCCUGUCCCCCUGGAUUCUACUGUCCUGAUGGCACUAAACAUACCGCCCAGUUCCCUUGUCCCCGUGGUUACUACAACGCCGAGGCCCUCACCCAGAGUCUGGACAGCUGCCUGCCCUGCCCCCCGGGGCACUACUGCGAGAAGGAGGGGCUCUCAGCCGUGUCAGGGAAAUGCAACGCUGGCUGGUUCUGUGUGUCUGCUGCCUGGACCUCUCAACCUUUUGACCUGGACAACUACACGAACGCCAACUGCCUGUGUCCUGCCACAUCCACUGGGGGGCGCUGUCAGAAGGGCUUCUUCUGCCCCUCAGGUAGCUCAGAGCCCCAGGCCUGCCCUGCUGGGGCCUUCUGCAAUGCCACAGGCUUGUUUCUGCCCAGUGGGCCAUGCUCCCCGGGGUUCUACUGCACUGGUGGAGCGGUUCGGCCCAAACCCAGAGACGGAGUAACAGGAAACAUCUGUCCUCCAGGAGCUUACUGUGAGGAGGCCUUUGAGGAACCCCAGCCGUGUCCAGCCGGCACAUUCUCCGUGGUCACUGGCCUGGUGAGACAGUCUGAGUGCCAGAGAUGCACAGAGGGACACUACUGCAGUUCCACUGGGCUACAGGCCCCUACGGGCCCCUGUAGUGAUGGUUACUGGUGCCCGGCUGGUCAGGAGGCGGACCGCUUGCUGCAGUGUCCGGUCCAUCAUUACUGUCCCCUGGGCAGCCCUGCCCCACUUCUCUGCCCCUCAGGCUUUUUCCAGGACAGGGAGAAGCAGGCCAACUGCUCACUCUGUGAAGCAGGUCAUUACUGUGACCCCAGACUGGCUUCCAGAGGCCUCUCCAUCCUGCAGCGCUGUCCAAGAGGACACUACUGUCCCCCAGGGACACACCUGUCCACCCAGUUCCCCUGCCCAGCGGGCACCUACAACCCCACAGAGGGCAUGGACAGCUCAGAGGCCUGCCUUCCCUGCCCUUCCGGACAGUACUGCCCCUCCAUGGGCCUCUCUGAACCUGAUGGUGGCUGCCAGGCUGGGUUCUGGUGCAGAAGAGGUUCUAGGUCCAGCACCCCAUUAAACGGAACCUCGGGUUCCACAUGCCCCGCUGGACACUACUGCCCUGCAGGUGUGUCCUUACCUGUGCCCUGUCCACCUGGCACCUGGGCGGGCAGGACCGGCCUGGGGGACGCGGGGGAGUGCCAGCCCUGUCCGGGGGGAUCGUACUGUGCCACCCCUGGACUCACAACACCCACAGGCCUCUGCACAGGAGGGUUUUACUGUGUGGAGGGGGCAGUGACACCCAACCCCUAUGAUGGCACCACGGGUGCCCCCUGCCCAGAGGCUCAUUACUGUCCUGUAGGAACCUCUCAGCCUGUGCCGUGUGAGCCAGGGACCUAUAUGAGUGCGACACAGGCCCCAGAGUGCUCUGUGUGCCCUGCAGGCUGGUACUGCACUUCUGGCGUUCGGCUGCUCUGUCCAGCAGGGUUCUACUGCCCUGAGGGCACAGGGGACACAUGGCGCUCCUGCCCCGUGGGCACGUACGGCCCUGCUGGUGGCCUGGGCAGGGUGUCGGAGUGUCGCGAGUGUGAUGGAGGACACUACUGCAGCAUGCCCAACACCACCUCUGUCACAGGGCCGUGCUCUGAGGGGUACUUCUGCCUGCCCGGCAGCACCACCCCACGGCCCCUAACCACAGAGGAAGGAGGUCCGUGUCCAGUGGGCCAUUUCUGCCCAGAAGGGACAUCGCAUCCACAUGCAUGUCCUGAAGGCACCUACAGCAACAUCUCUAAAUUAAUCUCCCAGGUGAGCUGCAGGCCGUGUGCUCCUGGACACUACUGCAGUGCUGCUGGUAUGAGCACGCCCACUGGGGAAUGCUGGGAAGGCUACUACUGCCAGCAGGGGGCAGUAUAUCCAAACCCACACAUCAGGGACGAGCGGGGAGGGCCCUGUCCGUCAGGAUAUUUCUGCCCCAAAGCCUCCGUUGGGCCUCUGAUCUGCCUGGCUGGCUACCUCAGCACAGAGGAGGGACGAGCCAACUGCAGCCUCUGCCCUCAGGGUUACUACUGCCCUGGCAGCAGCUCCACUAAUCAAAGCAGAGCGUGUCCUGUUGGGCACUACUGCCCCGCGGGCACCAGCAGUCAGUACCAGCACCCGUGCCCAGAUGGCACUCUGAACCAGCAGGAGAGAAUGGGCUCGCCCCACGACUGUACACCAUGCCCUCCAGGUUCCUUCUGUGCCUCGUCAGGCCUGAGUGAGGUCUCGGGGCCGUGCUCUGCUGGUCACUUCUGCUCUUUGGGGGCCGUGUCCCCCCGGCCAGAGGACGGAGUGACGGGGGACAGGUGUCCUCGGGGACACUACUGUCCCCCGGGGGCCUCCGUGCCACUGCCCUGUCCGGCUGGUCGCCACAGCAACACCACCGGCAACGCCUACCUCUCUGACUGCAAGCCCUGCCCAGCAGGUUUCUCCUGCUCCAGUAGGGGGCUCUAUCUCCCCUCCGAAGUCUGCCCUGCUGGAUUCUUCUGCCCUGACGGGGAGGGCUCCAACCACCCCACUCCACAAACCUGCCCCCCGGGGUUCAUCUGCCCCCAAGGAAGUCCUGCCCCCACCCCCUGUCCAGCGGGGACCUAUCAGGAGCAGUCUGGCCAGACGCGGUGUGCCCCCUGUCCUGCUGGCUUCUUCUGCGCCGCCUCACUGCACCCUGGCACAGGUGGCACAGAGGUAGUAGAAGGCUCCCACACACCCACCCCCUGCCCCGAGGGGCAUUACUGCCCAGUAGGCACCCAGUCUGGCCUGGACUUCCCCUGUCCUGUGGGCUCCUUCAGUGACCAGCGGGGCAUACGCAGCUCCAGCCAGUGCGCCCCCUGUCCAGCAGGCCGGUACUGCAGCUCUGCCGGACUGGCUGGCCCAUCAGGACACUGCUCUCCUGGGUAUGUGUGUCUCCAGGGCUCUGUGCAGCCUCAGCCCACGGGCGAGCUGACCGGCAGCCGAUGCCCCGCAGGCUUCUACUGCCCCGCGGGCACCACCCACGCCCUGCCCUGCCCGCCCGGCACCUGCAGCUCAUUAGAAGGAGCGGUGUCAGUAGACGCCUGUCAGCUGUGUCCUGCGGGUCUCUUCUGCUCUGACUUCGGUCUGACGGCCCCAUCAGGGCCCUGCAGCGCUGGGUACUUCUGCUCACGAGGAGCCACCACUCCCACGCCUCACGACACAGAGACUGACAGUGAGAUGUGUGGGGGGGCCGUGGAGGUGGACACACGCUCGUCUGUCCCGCCCAGAGCAGGAGUGUGUCCCAGAGCAGGAGUGUGUCCCAGGGGACACUUCUGCCCCAGGGGUACAGCUGAGCCCCAGCCCUGUCCGCCAGGUAACCCUAGAGCUGUCCUCUCUUCCAGGUAACUCCGGUAUCUCUCACCUAGCUUUGCUCCUUGAGUAGUGUGGGAGCCAGCCUGUCUGUCACAGGAAGCAGAAGAUCUGUCUGUCUGUCUGUCUGUCUGUCUGUCUGUCUGAUCUGAUCUGUGUCUGUCUGUCUGUCUGUCUUUCUGUCUGUC
ensembl:lncRNA